rnacentral:rRNA from 1 species
GAUGAACGCUGGCGGCGUGCCUAAUACAUGCAAGUCGAGCGAACGGACGCGGAGCUUGCUUCUCUGAUGUUAGCGGCGGACGGGUGAGUAACACGUGGAUAACCUACCUAUAAGACUGGGAUAACUUCGGGAAACCGGAGCUAAUACCGGAUAAUAUUUUGAACCGCAUGGUUCAAAAGUGAAAGACGGUCUUGCUGUCACUUCUGGAUGGAUCCGCGCUGCAUUAUCUAGUUGGUAAGGUAACGGCUUACCAAGGCAACGAUGCGUAGCCGACCUGAUAGGGUGAUCGGCCACACUGGAACUGAGACACGGUCCAGACUCCUACGGGAGGCAGCAGUAGGGAAUCUGCCGCAAUGGGCGAAAGCCUGACGGAGCAACGCCGCGUGAGUGAUGAAGGUCUUCGGAUCGGAAAACUCUGUUAUUAGGGAAGAACAGAUGUGUAAGUAACUGUGCACAUCUUGACGGUACCUAAUCAGAAAGCCACGGCUAACUACGUG